GAAAAAUUAGUUAAAUUAUUUCAAUAUUCUAAUUUGCUAUCUAAUCUUUGAAUUCGUACGUCUUUGUCUUCUUUAUCAAAAAUAAGUAUUAUAUCUAACCGUUGAUAUACAAAUCAUCUAUUAUUUUUUCUUAUUCUUUCUUGAAAAGCAAUUUACUGACCUACCCACACGUGGCCUCCCCUCAAUUUUCUAAUUCUUA
rnacentral:lncRNA from 1 species